UACAGAGGAGCCAAGCGUUGUCCGGAUUGACUGGGCGUAAAGCGCACGCAGGCGGCAUCGCGCGUGGGGUGUGAAAUCUGGCCGCUUAACGGCCAGGCGCCAUCCCAUACGGCGAGGCUGGAGCGAUGCAGAGGUCGGUGGAAUUGCCGGUGUAGUGGUGAAAUGCGUAGAGAUGGCAGGAACACCCAGGGGGAAACCAGCCGACUGGGC
rnacentral:rRNA from 1 species